AUCAGGGACAUAUAUACAUUUACGUAUAAGAAUAUUCAUCUAGUAUUGCUUGUAGAUGUGAAAAGCUAGAAAAACCUGAAAAGUCCAAUAAUUUAGCGACUGGUUGAACAAAUUAUGAUACCCUUGCAGCCAUUAAAAAUAAUUAUGUAACCUAUUUUAAUUUUCCUGGAAAGAUAUCAGACAUUUUGGGGAGGUUAUCACACGCUCACAAUUUUCCAUUAAAAAAAAACAAAACCCUUCAAGAGUUUUGAAAAUGAAAAUCCUAAAUUUAUAUAGCAAAUCCUAAAUUUAUAUAGCAAUUUAUAUAUAUUUAUUUGUUAGUAGUGUUAUCCCUUGGUGGGAAGAUUGUGGGUGAGUUUAAGUUUCUUUGUGUACGUUUAUGUACGGUUGAAGUACUGCUCCUAUCACGGGCAGCAGGCAUUUUUUAAAAAGCAGUGUUCUUAGAAUCAGAAAACACAAGGACACUAUUAACUCGUGGAGGGAACAAGGCCCUGGUACAGACUCCAUCGGGCGGAGACAAGGUGAAGGGGUUGCUGACGCCCCCGUAGAGCGACCGGAAGCACCACACGCCAGACUCCGGGAUUCUGGGCAGCGGACAGACGCCUCGUGACCACACAAGGAGGAAAUCUGUCAUCUUCUCCCACAGGAACGAAUUCUGUCUCCUUUCACGGAGCGCCUCCCAUUAAUCUGAGCGCGGUCUAGGGACGUUUCUAUCCCAAGGUGGGGGGAAGGGCAGGGAGGUCGGAGAUGGGGGUGAAGGUUUUCUCUUGAAAACGAAGAACAGCCUUUCCCGCUCCUCCUCACUUCCCGCCCACACGGGCGGGGCUUGGAGGCCGCCUGCGGGAAAACCGUUUCUAUGGGUGACGACUCGUGGGAACGUCGCCGAAGGGACUAUUGUGUUCUGAACGUCGCCCUGAAUGGAGGCCGCAAGCGCGGCGGAGCGGGGAGCGCAGAGGCUAAGCACUCUCUGAUUGGCCCCCACUCCUCAGUCCUCGCGACUGCGGGGCAGGGCUGGCGCGCGUGCGCAGAGGAGGCCCCGCUCGCUGGCGCGUCCCCCGACUUGCGGGUGCGCGGGCUUCUAAACUGGGCGGGGCAAGGGAAGUGAUGUGUGGCCUCCGGAAGAGAGGAGUCUUCCUCGCACCCAUGAGUUACAGGCCUCAGGUGUCAGGCGAGGGUUUCUUUUGAGGCUGAGGCAGAAAUUCUGUUCAGUUGUAACAGAAUCCUAAAUUUUUAGGUGGGUAUAACUCCCCAAGCUAUAACUACAUUUUCCAACCUUUCUUGUGGCAAAGUUUGGCCUUAUGACUAUGUUAUGGCCAAAAAGAUGUAAGCAGAAGUGCUAUGUGCAACUUUCAGGAAGUGGCCUUAAAGAGAGGAAGUGUGUGCCCUCUCCUUUACCCUUCCUUCUUCCUGUGAUGGCUGGAGGUAUUGCAACCAUUUUGGAUCAUGAGAGAAUCAAGGUGAUAUGUGGCAAAGAAUCAAGAAAGAAGGAACCUGGGUUCCUGAGACAAUGGAGCACCAAAUCAACACUGGACCUUUUACUUCCUGCUUUAUGUGUGGAAAAAAAAAAUAGACAUAUAUUAGGAAGUUUCCAGUUCCAAAUAAGAUGGAGGAAGCACAUCCCCCCUAUUUCUCCCACUGGACAUAAAGACCUGGAAAGAAUGCAUGGCUCAGUUGUAUGAGGACUCUGAACAGUAGGAGUAGGAAGGUUGGAGAAGAAGACAUGAAUUGGAGGUACCCCUGAGGCUGCAGAGAGCUUAUCAUUUUUUCCCCUCUGGUAUCCUUAGUCUGAAAUCAAUGCAACCCAAAAAUCCCUCACUAUUGCAGACGGAGAAAGCAGUGUACCUCCAGGAUUGGCUUGGGAGUGGGAAAUGGGGGGAUUGGGAAGGUUUUAGUUGUAAAAUAUACUAUGAACAAAGAAAUGCCUCCAUAAUAUGAAUGUUAUUAUAUAGCCAAAUUGUAAUGUGGAAUAUCAUGUUUCUGAGAUUCCUUGCGGAAAAUCAAUACCAUCUGUAUUAGUCAGGAUCCAAGAAACAGAUGGCACCUUCAAACUGGGUAAGUAAGGAGAAGUUAAUAAAGGGGCUAUCUAUAAAGGCAAGUUUUAGACAAAAUAAAGAGGGAUGCUGUAGUACCCCAGCGCUAUUAGCAGCAGGGAGCUAUCCCCACCCUUAAAUUUGAAGGGGUAGGGGUAAGGGGCAAUUGCUAAACCCUUGAGAGAGGACUAUUUUGUGAGGGCCACCUGACAGGAAACAUAGCUUUUGGCAGAGGGAAACAGCCAUGUGGCAGGGAGGAAGCCAGGGGAGUAAACUCUGCUUCCUUACUCUCUCGCCAAUUUUCUACCCGUACCAACGCCCCUCCAUGUUUGCUGAACCCAACUAGAAGCCAGAAGGCAGGGGAGCCCCAUGAUGCAGUGCACAUGGGGCAGCUUCUCAGGGUGCAGAGUAAGGUAAAGAAGGCUGGACAAUCGGCCAGGUGUGGUGGCUCA